rnacentral:misc_RNA from 1 species
GAAAUGCGAUACGUAGUGUGAAUUGCAGAAUUCCGUGAAUCAUCGAAUCUUUGAACGCACCUUGCGCUCCUUGGUAUUCCUUGGAGCAUGCCUGUUUGAGUAUCAUGAAAUCUUCAAAGUAAAUCUUUUGUUAACUCAAUUGGUUUCUACUUUGGUAUUGGAGGUCUUUGCAGCUUCACACCUGCUCCUCUUUGUUCAUUAGCUGGAUCUCAGUGUUAUGCUUGGUUCCACUCGGCGUGAUAAGUUAUCUAUCGCUGAGGACACUGUAAAAGGUGGCCAAGGUAAAUGCAGAUGAACCGCUUCUAAUAGUCCAUUGACUUGGACAAUACUUUUAUGAUCUGAUCUCAAAUCAGGUAGGACUACCCGCUGAACUUAAGC